ensembl:lncRNA
GGGGCUACAAUGUAAACUGCCGAAGGCAAGAGUGCAUCUCUGAAAACAGGACACUUCAAGGUUCUCCGUUGUUUUUAUCUCAUGCCCCAGGUUCUGCCCACCACCCAAAAAGAUGGUAUAUAGAUUCCUGGGAGAAAGCUCUGAAUUGGCUGAAUUUAAGUCACCUGACACGUGCUGCGUUAUCUGGGAAAGGAAUGGAAAAUCUACUGAGAGGCAGCCAUUUCUUGAAGGACCACACAACCUGAGGGAUUCUGCAAAAGGGAGAUAAGAAUGCAAAUAGGGUUUUUGCACGUAACCAAAACCCUGAGUAACAGACUUUUACUGAAACAAGUCUCCAGUCCAAGGAGAAAGCCUGGAAGACAUUCUAGAGUUAUUUUGUAGAUUCCUGAAGAUAUUCUCUGAAAAUAAUUAUGUUGUCUGCAAGUGAAGACUGUUUCGCUUCUUUUAUUUCUCAAUGCAAUAAUGAAUAGAAAUGGUGAAACCCAACACCCUAUUUUAUUCCAUCUCAAGUGAAAUGAUUCAGUCUCUAUUAAGAGUGAUCUUGUUGUGCCUUUUUAUACAUGCCCUUUGCCUGGUUUGGGAAGUUUCUAUGCAUUCUUAGUUUGUUAAGAUUUUUUUAAUCAUACAUUUAGCAUUGAAUUUGAUGAAGUGCAAGAUCUGUAUCCAUUCAGAUAAUCAUAAGACUUUUCUUCUUUAUGUUAUUUCAAUAUUGCAGUUUAUAAUGAUUGCCUUUUAAGUGUUAAACUAAAUUUGCAUUCCUGAGAUGAACAUAUCGUCUUUCUCAUAAUGUAGUAAAACUUUACUGUUUUGCUGAAUUUGAUUUGCUGGCACUUUGUUAUAAAAUUAU